rnacentral:rRNA from 1 species
UACGUAGGGGGCAAGCGUUGUCCGGAAUCAUUGGGCGUAAAGCGCGUGUAGGCGGCUCAGUAAGUCCGCUCUGAAAGCCCGGGGCUCAACCCCGGGAGGCGGGUGGAUACUGCUGAGCUUGAGUCCGGAAGAGGCGAGUGGAAUUCCCCGGUGUAGCGGUGAAAUGCGCAGAUAUCGGGAGGAACACCAAUGGCGAAGGCAGCUCGCUGGGACGUGACUGACGCUGAGACGCGAAAGCUAGGGGAGCAAACGGG